CCGGCACCGCUUGCCCGGCACGACGACACCGCUUGCACGGCACGGCGCCACUCGCCAGUUCGGCCAGUGCAGUCAGCCACUCGCCAGUUCACCACCAGGCUCGCCAUUCGCACACAACAGUCCUAUGUCAACACCAACGGAGCAGUCCUCUAAUGAAGUAUGGUUUGAUUUUGUCUCUGUGUUGUCUUCUUUUUAGUGAUUUUUGCUUCAAAUGUUUAUUUGUGUCUGUGUGGCCACUAUAAUAUAGGUCCUAAAUGCCACCAAGGAAUCAGCACCGACCGCCGGCAACACUACUGAGGAAAAGAAAGAAGAUAACGCGAAGAAAAGGAAGGAGAUUGCACCUAGAUCAGAAGUAUGGUCUCACUUUGUCAAGAUUUGUGUUGAUGGACACUUGAAGAAAGGGAAAUGCAAGUAUUGCAGCCGUGAGAUCAAGUGUGACCCAAAUUUGAAUGG
rnacentral:lncRNA from 1 species